UACGAAGGGUGCAAGCGUUAAUCGGAAUUACUGGGCGUAAAGCGUGCGUAGGCGGUUUGUUAAGUCUGUUGUGAAAUCCCCGGGCUCAACCUGGGAAUGGCAAUGGAUACUGGCAAGCUAGAGUGUGAUAGAGGAUGGUGGAAUUCCCGGUGUAGCGGUGAAAUGCGUAGAGAUCGGGAGGAACACCUGUGGCGAAGGCGGCCACCUGGACGACAACUGACGCUGAGACGCGAAAGCGUGGGUAGCAAACAGG
rnacentral:rRNA from 1 species